UUUAUCAUUUAUCAUCUCCUACGGGAACCUGACUUGAAAUGAUCAAAACUACAACACUUUUUAGUACACAUUCCUUGAAUUGCCCUACCUGAUACAUGAUAAUGUGAGAAAUACGUUGGUAGGCCCCACCUUCAUAGGACAAAACAUUUAAAAGCAAACAAUAUGGCAUAGCCUCUCAUAAAAGACUGCCGCACCCCAAAAUUAACAAAGCCCAUUUUCUCUCAGAUUUCAGAAAUAGGGUAGGUCUUAGGAAGGUACCACUGGGCUUUAGGUGGCUGCCUAACUCCCAAACUCCCCUGGUCGCAGGCCUUGGGGACAGACUCUAAUCCUGAGUAGGGUUGCUCCAGAAUGUAGCAUUUGGUAUAUACAUAUGCCAAAAAAUAAUAUGUUGUUUCUGUGACAUUCAAAUUUAACUGGAUGUCCUGUACUUAUAUUUGCUAAAUCUGACAACCCUAAUCCUGAGGUUUUCGUUCAGUGUUAAUAUUGGGCCCUACGUCCCUGAUGUGCCCCUAGGAAGCAGGACACAGACCCUGCAUCUCUGGUAUAUAAGGAAUUUACCUGCCUGCCUCCAAGGAGGCUCUCAUGGCCAAGGGGCAGCCUCCUCUCUGGGCCCCAGGGAUAUUUUCCAAAAAACCCACUGCAUCAACUUUUCUACACCCAUUGGCACGCACUUAUAAACCUCAGCUCUUCCCCCAGGCCCUGUGGGUUGCUUCCAGCUUCCUGGGCAUCGUUGUUCUUCUCCCUCCUUUUUCUAGCAGCUGUGAGGUUCUCUUGGAGCUGGUGGAUCUGGGCGGGCCCCACUGAGUGCCCAUCAUCCCCUCACUCAGGUGUCCUUUGCCCACUGCACCUUCCUGUUUGAGGGACUAAUCUGUUUGUUCCCUGUGGCCUCUCUCUGCCUUCACACCUCUUUUCUGUCUGAAAGGCUUUGAUUCACUAUAAAUAAUUGGAUUGUUUUCCAAAAGCUAGAUGUUCAAAUUCAUGCUUUAUUGUGGUUUGAAAUGGCCAAGUGACAGGUGGAUGUGGGUCAUGGUCUAGUCCUGUCUCCGUUAGGACAACCCUACAGAAUGGCAAGAAGAGGGAGGCAGCAGCUCAUACCCCGCCUCCCUGGCUUAGCAGGAACGAUGCCAGAGUGACCUCGGAUGACUCAGUGCAUUAGUGCAGGUGUUCCCAAGAAUGCCUCUCCUGCUCCGUGGGGAACCGCGGCAGCCUUUCUAUCUCUCUCCCAUUUAUCCCUGAAGACUUCUAAAGCAGAGCUUCUCAGUUUGUAGGGCGCCCAGGAAUCACCUGGAAAUCUCGUUAGAACAGCAGAGACUGAUUCAGCAGCUCUGGGGCCUCCUGAGAUUCUGCCCUCCUACCAAGCCUCCGUGCUGCCACUGCUAUGGACCCCAGACCACCCUUGGAGCGGCAAGAGUUUGAAACUUCUUCUGCAGCCACAGGACGGCCCGGGCGCCUGGUCUUUUCAAGUCCAGGGCUCUGGUGAGACUACCAGGCCCAGGAGGCACAUGGGAGCAUUGCACCUACUGCGCUUCCUCGCCACCUUGUGACUUGCUUUGGCCAGUGAAAUGAGAGCAGAAAUGAUGUGAAUUGCUUCCAGGCAAACACUUUGGAAAUUAGUGGUUGAUUUGCCCCAUCCUCAUUUCCUGCCUUCAGGGUUGAGGAGGCAACAUGUCCAGUUGUAGUUGCCCGUGUCCCUGAGUAGCUAUGGGAAACAGAGCUCCUAUUGACCCCCAAUUUCAUGAUUGAGAAAUAAACGUUCAUGUCAAA